rnacentral:rRNA from 1 species
GGUGACAAACCGGAGGAAGGCGGGGAUGACGUCAAGUCAUCAUGGCCCUUACGGGUAGGGCUACACACGUGCUACAAUGGCCGAUACAGAGGGCGGCGAAGGGGCGACCUGGAGCAAAUCCUUAAAAGUCGGUCGUAGUCCGGAUUGGAGUCUGCAACUCGACUCCAUGAAGUCGGAAUCGCUAGUAAUCGCGAAUCAGCAUGUCGCGGUGAAUACGUUCCCGGGCCUUGUACACACCGCCCGUCACACCAUGGGAGUGGGUUGCACCAGAAGUAGAUAGUCUAACCUUCGGGGGGACGUUUACCACGGUGUGGUUCAUGACUGGGGUGAAGUCGUAACAAGGUAGCCGUAGGGGAACCUGCGGCUGGAUCACCUCCUUAC